UACAGAGGUCCCAAGCGUUACUGAGAAUCACUGGGUUUAAAGGGUGCGUAGGUGGUCCGUUAAGUCCGUUGUGAAAUCCCCGAGCUCAACUCGGGAACUGCUUCGGAUACUGGCGGACUUGAGGCCAGUAGAGGUCACUGGAACUGACGGUGGAGCGGUGAAAUGCGUAGAUAUCGUCAGGAACGCCGGUGGUGAAGACGGGUGACUGGGCUGGUUCUGACACUGAGGCACGAAAGCGUGGGGAGCGAACGGG
rnacentral:rRNA from 1 species